rnacentral:rRNA from 1 species
AUGUCGCUCCGCAAGCGCCAGCGGUCGGCGAGCAGCUCCCGCCUCUCCUCCCUCUCCUCGCCGGCGUCGCCCCCCCGCCCCGUCGCCUCCUCCGCCUCCGCCUCCUCCCCGCCGCUCUCGUUCCCCGGCGCCGACCUCCUCCUCCGCCUCCACCUCGACCCCUCCUCCGACGACGUCAAGCCCGACCUCGCCGCCUUCCUCGACCUGCACGUCUCCUCGGCGUCCCUCCUCCGGUCCCGCUACUUCGCGGCGCUCCUCUCCGACCGCUGGUGCCCCGACCCGUCCUCCUCCCCGGCCGGCCGCCUCUCCCUGGCCGUCCCCGCCGCGCCCUCCUGCGCCCGCCCCUUCCACGCCCACGUCGAGGUCGUGCGCCUCCUCCACACGCUCGACUUCGCGGGCACCAUCCGCUCCCCCGCCGACGCCCUCGACAUCCUCCCCGUCGCGCUGCAGCUCCUCUUCGACGCCUGCGUCGAGGCCUGCAUCCGCUUCCUCGAGGCCGUGCCCUGGUCCGAGGAGGAGGAGGCCCGCGUGCUGGACCUCGCGCCGCUCCUCCCCGGCGACGAGGCCGCCGACCUCCUCGCCAGGGUCUCCCUCGCCCCCGCCGCCGCCGCCGCGGCGGGCGAGGCGGCCGCCAGGUCGCCCUCGGAGGCCAUGCUGCACGGCCUGAUCCAUUCCGCCAUCCACGGCCACCCCGUCCCCGCCGCCACCAAGGCGUUCGUGGCGAUGCUCCUCAAGGACUACCCCUCCCGCGACUGCGUGCACAAGGUGCUCGACGAGGCGUUCCUCUCCCGGCUCGACACCGUCAAGGAGCUCCUGGGCAAGUACGCCAGCCCGGACUUCAGGAUCGCCGUCGACAGCGACGAGCGAGAGGCGAUACAGAAGUUGAACCUGCACUCGGCGGUCCUAAAUGUGAAGCAUCUGCUCUGGCUCAUUGAGAGGAUGGUGGAUAUGAGGGUGGCCGAUAACGCGGUGAAGCUUUGGAGCGAGCAGGUCGCGCUUGCUGCUGACUUGCAGAAGUUGCUCAACGAUGCUGACAUGUGGAGGAACAUGGCUCCUGGGCUCCCGAUGCUUGUGACCAGAUGCACGCUCAGGCUUGCCCAUUCAGUUAUGAUUGGGGAGACACUGGUUCCUCGGCAGGUGAGGAUGAAGCUUGUCAAAAGUUGGCUUCCUGUCCUGAAUGUCUGCAGGGACAUCGCCCAACCUAUGCAUAGUGGAUACAAAUUGUCGAACUGCCAAGAGCUGGAGGAGACAUUUCUUAAGAUCAUCUCCACUUUAUCCGUCCCAGAUGCUCAGGAGCUGCUGCAACAAUGCCUUGGGUUCUCAACUCGCAACGUCGAUGACUGCCAGCAUUUGGUCACCGCCUUCAAGACAUGGUUCAGGCGAGCUUCCAGGGAUCCACAAGGUCCACAAGGCGGGGAAGACUGA